AUCACUUCUCGGCCUUUUGGCUAAGAUCAAGUGUAGUAUCUGUUCUUAUCAGUUUGCAAUAUGGCACCCAGAGUUGACACCAAAUUCCUUUGGCCUCCAGAUAUUCCAAUGCAUAAAUUUUAAGCCCUUCAAAAUCUCCU
rnacentral:snRNA from 1 species